UCUCCGUGACUUCUUCACAGGAACAUCCAUGAUCCUAGAGUCCAGAGGGCUCAAAUGAGCCUUUAGGAGCAGGAAAGUGGACCGCUCCACAGAACAGUCUCACCCUGCCAGUUAAGGAAGACAGCCCGGAUAAAAAUAACUGUCCUCUAUCAAGCAUCUACCCAUGCCAAGUCCUGGGAAGGAGCUUUACAAAUACAGCAUCCUGAUGGUUCUACCCAGCAGCUACUUCAAGGACAGCGGGCCCUGCCCGGCUGCCUUUGAUGCACAAGGAACCAGCCAGGACUACCACAGCAGCAUCUGACAGCAGUGUCUAGAAGAUGACAGGAGGGACACUUCUAGUUCUCACCGUGAGCAGCAGUUGCACUCUGCUUCCUGUACCUGGUUGAAGAUGUGAUUACUCGGAUUUCUGCUCGAGCCACCUUUGCUCCAUGCCUCUCCC